UGGGGAAUAUUGCACAAUGGGCGCAAGCCUGAUGCAGCCAUGCCGCGUGUGUGAAGAAGGCCUUCGGGUUGUAAAGCACUUUCAGCGAGGAGGAAGGUGGUGAGCUUAAUACGCUCAUCAAUUGACGUUACUCGCAGAAGAAGCACCGGCUAACUCCGUGCCAGCAGCCGCGGUAAUACGGAGGAUGCAAGCGUUAAUCGGAAUUACUGGGCGUAAAGCGCACGCAGGCGGUUUGUUAAGUCAGAUGUGAAAUCCCCGGGCUCAACCUGGGAACUGCAUUUGAAACUGGCAAGCUAGAGUCUCGUAGAGGGGGUAGAAUUCCAGGUGUAGCGGUGAAAUGCGUAGAGAUCUGGAGGAAUACCGGUGGCGAAGGCGGCCCCCUGGACGAAGACUG
rnacentral:rRNA from 1 species